GCGCCUGUAGCUCAGCUGGAUAGAGCACUGGAUUCCGGUUCCAGGUGUCGGGGGUUCGAAUCCCUCCAGGCGCGCCA
rnacentral:tRNA from 1 species